rnacentral:rRNA from 1 species
ACGAACGCUGGCGGCGUGCUUAACACAUGCAAGUCGAACGGUGAACCUCUUCGGAGGGGAUCAGUGGCGAACGGGUGAGUAACACGUGGGCAACCUGCCCCCGGCUCUGGGAUAACUCCAAGAAAUUGGGGCUAAUACCGGAUGUUCACCGCUUCCCGCAUGGGUGGUGGUGGAAAGGGUUUCCGGCUGGGGAUGGGCCCGCGGCCUAUCAGUUUGUUGGUGGGGUAGUGGCCUACCAAGGCGACGACGGGUAGCCGGCCUGAGAGGGUGACCGGCCACACUGGGACUGAGACACGGCCCAGACUCCUACGGGAGGCAGCAGUGGGGAAUAUUGCGCAAUGGGCGGAAGCCUGACGCAGCGACGCCGCGUGGGGGAUGACGGCCUUCGGGUUGUAAACCUCUUUCAGCAGGGACGAAGCGCAAGUGACGGUACCUGCAGAAGAAGCACCGGCCAACUACGUG